AGUGAACGCUGGCGGCAGGCCUAACACAUGCAAGUCGAGCGGCAGCGCGUCCGACCACCCUCGGGUGGUCGGAUGGCGGCGAGCGGCGGACGGGUGAGGAAUGCAUCGGAAUCUGCCUCGUUGUGGGGGAUAACGUAGGGAAACUUACGCUAAUACCGCAUACGACCUACGGGUGAAAGUGGGGGACCUUCGGGCCUCACGCGAUGAGAUGAGCCGAUGCCGGAUUAGCUAGUUGGUAGGGUAAAGGCCUACCAAGGCGACGAUCAGUAGUUGGUCUGAGAGGACGACCAACCACACUGGGACUGAGACACGGCCCAGACUCCUACGGGAGGCAGCAGUGGGGAAUUUUGGACAAUGGGCGCAAGCCUGA
rnacentral:rRNA from 1 species